CUGGAUCAUUUCUUUACAUAUCUUUCUUUGAGAACAUGCAUUGAUAAAGAUCAAUGCAUGUUCUCAAAGAAAGAUAUGUAAAGAAAUGUGGGAAA